AUGCAAGGGAAAGGAGGAAGGGUUUUGAAACGACUAGUUCGAGAAUUUGCUGAUAGUCACCGCAAUGUCCCAUCCUGAAUUUAACAUAACUCGCAUCAAAUGUAAUUGAUACAGUCCAUAGCUUCAAAGAGCUGCUGAGCCUGCUGUUGGUGCUAUCACAGCUGUAAAUUGUUGGCUUGCUUUCAAGCUUGGAAAAUCCAGGGGUCUGUAUUUUAAGCAAAAGUCCCCACAUCUAAUUACUCCCCUGUAGCCUUCAUUUUUGUUCUGUACAGUAUUCUACCAAUCCCAAUUUUUGUCAAACCUCCCAAACACCAUUGUAGGAAAUACACGUAGCAUAUAUACUUCUAAGUAGACUGAGAGUAUCAAUCUGCUAUAGCGGCUGCAAGAGGGGAUAUUCAAUAUACCUGGAAAUAAAUCAA
rnacentral:misc_RNA from 1 species